CCUCCGUUCUUCCGCCGUUCUUACUAUUCUUCCCUUCUCUCGCUCCUGCCCCCGCCCCGUCGCGUGAAGGAUGAAGGAUCUAUGGUUUGUAAACUUCUUUUAUAUGGGAAUAAAGUGAGGAACGUGUUCCUUUUUGUAUGUACCAUAUGAAUAAGCAUCGGCUAACUCCGUGCCAGCAGCCGCGGUAAUACGGAGGAUGCGAGCGUUAACCGGGUUUAUUGGGUUGAAAGGGUGAGUAGGUGGUUAAUUAAGUCAGCGGUGAAAGUUUGUGGCUCAACCAUAAAAUUGCCGUUGAAACUGGUUGACUUGAGUAUAUUUGAGGUAGGCGGAAUGUGUGGUGUAGCGGUGAAAUGCAUAGAUAUCACGCAGAACUCCGAUUGCGAAGGCAGCUUACUAAACUAUAACUGACACUGAAGCACGAAAGCGUGGGGAUCAAACAGGAUUAGAUACCCCUGUAGUC
rnacentral:rRNA from 1 species